AUUUUCUGCCACCGAAUACAUUAGCAUGGGAUAAUGGAAUAGGACCCUGUCCUCCUAUUUUCAGUUGGUUUUGGCAGCGCGAGGACUAGGGUAAUGAUUAAUAGGGAUAGUUGGGGGCAUUAAUAUUUAAUUGUCAGAGGUGAAAUUCUUGGAUUUAUGAAAGAUUAACUUCUGCGAAAGCAUCUGCCAAGGAUGUUUUCAUUAAUCAAGAACGAAAGUUAGGGGAUCGAAGACGAUCAGAUACCGUCGUAGUCUUAACCAUAAACGAUGCCGACCAGCGAUUAGGAGACGUUGAAUACAAAACACCACCAUCGGCGCGGUCGCCCUUGGCGUUCGUGUUCACGCACGGGCGCGAGGGCGGCUUAGCCCGAUGGCACCGGUGAAUGACUCCCCUAGCAGCUUGUGAGAA
rnacentral:rRNA from 1 species